CCUCUGGUAGUUCAGUUGGUAGAGCGGUGGACUGUAGAUCCAUAGGUCGCUGGUUCAAAUCCGGCCCAGAGGA
rnacentral:tRNA from 1 species